UAAAUAGAACCAGUCCAAGAAAUAGCACACAUGAACUUGGAAAAGUGUGACUGAAGAAAAAGGCUCAGAGAAAACAAAAUAUAAUAGUGAGACAGAAAAAUAUAGCAAAAGUGUCUCCCCAUGACAAGGCCGGUGCCAGCCCCUGGGAUACAAAGAUGAGAAAGUGCAGGGUUCCACUGGGGGAGGGCGGAGGAAGAAGCUGCU
rnacentral:lncRNA from 1 species